AGCAUAUAAAAUUCUUUUUAAAAAACUUUUCAGCAUAAUGUAAUUGUCCUGAAAUUAAUUAAAUGAGCUAAAAUUCUUACAUUUGAUUUCCUAGGUGAAAUCCUAUGGACCUAACCAUGCGGUGGCACUAAACACCUUCUCUUCAUAUAUGCUUCACUUGAUAUCUUGCAUAAUCAUUUCCAUAACCUGUAAAUCACAAAACAACUCCAUACAAAACAUAUGUUGUCAUCAUUAAAAUAAAAACCAUAAAUCAACAACAUCUUGAUGAUAGCAUGCAAUAAGAGCAACUCUAGAAUAACAAAUCGCAG
rnacentral:lncRNA from 1 species